AUCACUUCUUCAUCCCUCUUCACCCCCAAUUUUCAUCUCUAAACCCUCACCCCACCCCACCCCACCCUACAGUCACCAUUCCACCAUCACGGCACCGCCAUAUCCGGCCACUGAACACAUCUCCACACUCCUUUAACCCUUUCCCCCACAACUAAGCCAAAAACCCCCAUUUCCCAACAGAGACCGUCAUCAUCUCCGAUCGGGUCGCACCACCAUUGCUAAACGGCGGAUUCUGGUCACUAUUUCGACGUAACACGGUGUCAUGCAGUGGUGCUAUCGGCGGUAACCCUAGGAGGUCGACAGCUGCCCCCUAGCAUCGGUGACUUGGGUUUGAUUUUGGUGUCGAACAACCAACAUCGGUGGCGUCGGCGAUAGCGGAUAUGGGGGGAGAGGAUCGGUAGAAACGAUCAGCAGCGAUGGAACCCUACAAAGACCUAUCGAGAAAGAAAGGAAAAGGAGACAGCACAGAUCGAGAACCAAAGGAAAUGAAUAGUAGAUUUGAAAAAUUAAAGAGAAGGGGAAUGAGGGAGAAACCGUUUUAGAGGGAGGGAGGGAGAGAGAGAAGCAGAGAAGAAGAAGAAGAAGAAGGCCGACCAUGGUCUCCGACCGGCCGGCCAUCCUGUUCUGGUUAUGGUAGUUGUGGUGGUGGUUACUGGUGACAUUGAGGGCUCCAUUGGGCGUUAUCGGUGGUUGUGAUUGGCGAUGUUAGUAAUUAAUGGUGUUAAUGGCGGUGGUUCCGAACAAGGGAUGUGGUGGUUGUCGACGGUGAGCAGCGUCAGUGGUGGAUGUAGUCAGAGACGGUGACGAUGUUUAGGGUUUAACAUUGUCGCUUGCGAGUGUAGCAGAAAAGAACGGCGGCUACGAUCUGUUUAUGAGUUCCGAUAAUGGUGGUUACAAUGGUCACACUUUUCAUCUGAGAUGAUUGGAACAGAUGGCGUCAACGUUAAGAUGGUUCGAGUGUGGAAGAUCUGGUUACUUCUGUCGGCGGUAACAAUCGGUGCUACGGUUACUUCUGUCAUUUUCAUCUUAGAUAAGAAGCAGACUUUGGGAAGGUUCCGCUACUUCCAAGAUUUGGGGAGCUUCCACACAAUGAGCUGUUGUGGGUGACACAGUCUCUUGGGUAUGUUUUUCAUGAGUCAAUCGUUCACCAUAAGUAUUUUAAUGAAACACAUAUGUGAACAAUCUUGCUUAUUAAACCAAAAAUGGGAUUUAUGCAGAGGGAUGUUGACUGCAAACAUAAUUAUUUCAGGGGGUUAUGACUACAUGUAUUUGGUGAGAAUGAUGAAUAUGAAACUGUGACAUGUAUGCUGGCGCCUGCUUUGUAGACAAAAUGCAUGGUGUUGGUAUAUACAACUUUGCAAAUGGACAUUGGUAUGGUGCAUAGAACUUUAUAUAUAGAUGGUGUUGGUGGAUCAAUGAUAACGAGUAGGACCGUGUUGGCGUCGCUAUGAUUCCGGUCUAUAAUAGCAUAUAGCGGAUCUGCAAAGACGUUUAGUUUGACUGAUAUUGAGAAAGCAACCGACAAUUUCAACGAAUCAGGAGUUCUAGGUGAAGGUGGACUUGGGCAUGUUUAUAGUGGCAUUCUUGUAGAUAGAACAAAAAUGGCGGUUAAAGUAUCUAAAUGUGACGAUCAACAAGGCGGUCGAGAAUUCUUGGCUGAAGUUGAGAUGCUCAACCGAUUGCCCAUAAAAACUUGGUUCGGUUGAUUGGGAUAUGCACAGAGGAAAGAAACCGGUAUUUGGUUUAUUAGCUUAUGACAAAUGGGAGUGUUGAAUCCCAUCUUCACAAUAAUUUUAUGCAACAUGUUUUGCAAAUUCGGGUUUAGGGAAUGUUUGGGAAUGGGUAUGUAUCAUUGAAGUUGAAAAGUUUUUCAAAAGUCAAUCAUUCGUUUA